AAAAGAAGAGGCGGGUUGUAUGGAUUCUUUUUUCUUUUGUUUUGCCAAACCAUCUUGAAAAAAAAAAGAAAGAAAAAAGGAAAAACAAUUUUUGAGACUGAUACUU
rnacentral:ribozyme from 13 species